rnacentral:tRNA from 1 species
GUCUUUGUAGUUCAACGGAUAGAACAACCCCCUCCUAAGGGGUAGAUGUAGGUUCGAUUCCUGCCGGGGAUACCA